UAGUCCACGCCGUAAACGAUGAAUGCUAGGUGUCGGGGGUCGAACCUCGGUGCCGCAGUUAACGCAAUAAGCAUUCCACCUGGGGAGUACGAUCGCAAGAUUGAAACUCAAAGGAAUUGACGGGGGCCCGCACAAGCGGUGGAGCAUGUGGUUUAAUUCGAAGCAACGCGAAGAACCUUACCAAUUCUUGACAUCCUUUUGACCGUUCCUUAAUCGGAACUUCUCUUCGGAGCAAAAGUGACAGGUGGUGCAUGGUUGUCGUCAGCUCGUGUCGUGAGAUGUUGGGUUAAGUCCCGCAACGAGCGCAACCCUUAUCUUUAGUAGCCAGCACGUUAUGGUGGGAACUCUAGAGAGACUGCCGGGGACAACUCGGAGGAAGGUGGGGAUGACGUCAAAUCAUCAUGCCCCUUAUGAAUUGGGCUACACACGUGCUACAAUGGCCGUGACAAAGAGUUGCUACUUUGUGAAAACAAGCUAAUCUCAUAAACGCGGCCUCAGUUCGGAUUGCAGGCUGAAA
rnacentral:rRNA from 1 species